AAUUAUACUAAAUCGACAGUCAA
rnacentral:snRNA from 1 species